AAGGUGUGACCUAUCAACUGUCGACUGUGGCAUAGACGCCCACAGUGGUUUUGACGGGUAACGGGGAAUUAGGGUUCGAUUCCGGAGAGGGAGCCUGAGAAACGGCUACCACUUCUAAGGAAGGCAGCAGGCACGCAAAUUACCCACUGGCCGAAGGCCGAGGUAGUGACGAAAAAUAACGAUACCAGACUCAUCCGAGGCCUGGUAAUCGGAAUGAGCACACUUUAAAUCCUUUAGCGAGGAACCAUUGGAGGGCAAGUCUGGUGCCAGCAGCCGCGGUAAUUCCAGCUCCAAUAGCGUAUAUUAAAUUUGUUGCGGUUAAAAAGCUCGUAGUUUGAUUUCGGCGAGCAGGGGGCGGUUCGUUAUUUGACGUAACUGCCCCAUUUGCUCGUGUUUCUUCGGCAGAACUCCCAGGGUGCUCUUCGCCGAGUGUCCUGUUGGGGGCUGCCAGGUUUACUUUGAAAAAAUUAGAGUGCUCCAAGCAGGCUCGACACGCCUGAAUAUUUGUGCAUGGAAUAAUGGAAUAGGACGUCGUUCCUAUUUUGUUGGUUUUAGGGAAUCGACGUAAUGAUUAAUAGGGACAGUCGGGGGCAUUAGUAUUCAGACGACAGAGGUGAAAUUCUUGGACCGUCUGGCGACUCACUGCUGCGAAAGCGUUUGCCAAGUAUGUUUUCAUUAAUCAAGAACGAAAGUUAUAGGUUCGAAGGCGAUCAGAUACCGCCCUAGUUCUAACCAUAAACGAUGCCAGCUAGCGAUCCGCAGAUGUUUUUAUUGUAGGCUCUGCGGGAAGCUUCCGGGAAACCAAAGCUUUUGGGUUCCGGGGGAAGUAUGGUUGCAAAGCUGAAACUUAAAGAAAUCGACGGAAGGGCACCACCAGGCGUGCAACUUGCGGCUUAAUUCGACUCAUCACUGGAAAUCUCACCAGGCCCGGACACCGGAAGGAUUGACAGAUUGAGAUCUCUUUCUCGAUUCGGUGGGUGGUGGUGCAUGGCCGUUCUUAGUUGGUGGAGUGAUUUGUCUGGUUAAUUCCGAUAACGAACGAGACUCCGUCCUGCUAAAUAGUUGUAACGUCACACGUGCGUUGCAAAUUCUUCUUAGAGGGACUGGCGGCAUCUAGCCGCACGAGAUGGAGCAAUAACAGGUCUGUGAUGCCCUUAGAUGUUCUGGGCCGCACGCGUGUUACACUGAAGGGAUCAACGUGUCUUCCCUGACCGAGAGGUCCGGGUAACCCGCUGAACCCCCUUCGUGGUAGGGAUCGGAGCUUGCAAUUAUUCUCCGUGAACCAGGAAUGCCCAGUAAGUGCAAGUCAUAAGCUUGCAUUGAUUACGUCCCUGCCCUUUGUACACACCGCCCGUCGCUACUACCGAUUGAACGUUUUAGUGAGGUAUUUGGACCGGGCCUCUGGUGGCUCACGCCUCCAGUGCUGCUCGGG
rnacentral:rRNA from 1 species